rnacentral:rRNA from 1 species
AUUGAACGCUGGCGGCAUGCUUUACACAUGCAAGUCGAACGGUAACAGGCCUUCGGGUGCUGACGAGUGGCGAACGGGUGAGUAAUGCAUCGGAACGUGCCCAGAGGCGGGGGAUAACGCAGCGAAAGCUGUGCUAAUACCGCAUGUGAUCUGAGGAUGAAAGCGGGGACCAGGCAGCAAUGUUUGGCCUCGCGCCUUUGGAGCGGCCAAUGUCAGAUUAGGUAGUUGGUGGGGUAAAGGCCUACCAAGCCGACGAUCUGUAGCUGGUCUGAGAGGACGACCAGCCACACUGGGAGUGAGACACGGCCCAGACUCCUACGGGAGGCAGCGGUCGGGAAUUUUGGACAAGGGGCGCAAGCCUGAUCCAGCAAUGCCGCGUGAGGGAAGAAGGCCUUCGGGUUGUAAACCGCUUUUGUACGGAACGAAAAGGCUCUGGCUAAUACCUGGGGCUGAUGACGGUACCGUAAGAAUAAGCACCGGCUAACUACGUG